UACAGAGGUCUCAAGCGUUGUUCGGAUUCAUUGGGCGUAAAGGGCGCGUAGGCUGCGGGGCAAGUCGGGUGUGAAAUCUCAGAGCUCAACUCUGAAACUGCACUCGAUACUGCUUUGCUCGAGGACUGGAGAGGAGAUUGGAAUUCGCGGUGUAGCAGUGAAAUGCGUAGAUAUCGUGAGGAAGACCAGUGGCGAAGGCGGAUCUCUGGACAGUUCCUGACGCUGAGGCGCGAAGGCUAGGGGAGCAAACGGG
rnacentral:rRNA from 1 species